rnacentral:pre_miRNA from 3 species
UCUUACAGAUGUGCAAAGGAAAUGGUUUCUUGAGAUGAAAUCUACUCCUGGUGAAGAUGCUGUGAA